rnacentral:misc_RNA from 1 species
GCUUUACUCAUGGUGACGCAGUGUACAUUGUAACAGCGUAUGUACGUUGUAGUUCAGAAAAUUCUUUGAAAUUAUAAAUGUAAAUCAUGCGAUCACUGUUUAAUGAACUUUGUUCCUAUUUAUUUUUCAAUUUUUCAACAUUAAAUAGAACAAUGUGAAAUGGAGGAUCAUCGAUUUUGGAAUGAAAAUGUGUUCUAAUGUUUGUGCAUAGAACAAAGUUUGGAAAGUGCGAAAGAUUAUUCAAAGUCGCAAAAAGAGCAUAAUGCAUAAAAUUGUUUUUAGAAGUCCAAAAUGGUUCAGAGUCUGCUCCUAAAAUGAAUUGUUUAACAUCAGCAUGUAAAUUUCCUCUGGAAUGAUUUGCAUAAAUCAACAAUAUAAGCAGAACUUUAGAUUUGGAAAGAAAAUGAUAGCAUCUGUGUCUACUAAAAAAUUGAGGUUGCUGCAGAAGGUUGGGGUGACUAUCAUUCAAAUGGCAAGACUAGUCAAACACUGAUGCUUGUUUUUGACAUCCUCCAAGAUGAUUUUUAGUAAGCUAAGCGAAAAUUAGCUAAAGUUCUGCAACUGUUAAUCAUGUGAAGAGAAGAGAGAUGAUUUGAAAUACUUUCAAAAUUUCUACCUUUUGAUUGCGUGAACUAAUUUAUUUUUCGAAAUAUUUUCAACAUUAUGCAACAUGUUAAAUCAACUAUUUUCGAACAGUGAAAACAGUUCACAAAGAAGACAAUUCUUUUAAAAUUUUAGCAAAUAUGUUAUGGGUUAUUUGCGACAUUAAGUUAUUAAUUACAUUAAGUACACGAUUGUCACCUUUCAAUUGGUAUUCUGAAAAUCCAUGAUCUGUCUGAGAUGUUUUCUAUUUAAAAAAAAAAAAAAAAAAAACGAUUAAGUUUAGUAAAAUUGAUAUUUUCUUGUAGUGCUUUCUCUAAAAAAUAAAGACUAUUAAAUCUGAACUUCUCAUUGGAAAUUCUUUCAGAAAAUCGAAAUCUGUAACUAAAAAAGGAAAUGGCUACAUUAUUUUCUUAAUAAUUUCUAAUGAACUUAAAAAUUGUAUUAGUAACUAGAAGAUUUCUUUCUCCGAUUUCUUCCUUAAAGAAUCAGGUUUAUUAAAAAAGCAGAGUCUUUAAUCGAAAAUCAAAGGUGGCAAUCGUAGUCGAGCCACUUUUAUAUUGAAGUCAAUUGUAUUUAGAAAAAGUUAAGAUUUUUUAAUGAUUUAUAAUAGGUCAAUAAAUAAUAUAGAUUAGAAAUACAAAGUUACUGGAUUAUAUAAAGAAUGAAUGUAAAAAUGAAAAUUGUUAUGAACAAAAUCAAUUAUAUAUAGUAAGAAAAAUCAAAUAGAAAUUGUAAAAAA